rnacentral:rRNA from 1 species
AGCGAACGCUGGCGGCAGGCCUAACACAUGCAAGUCGAACGAACCUUUCGGGGUUAGUGGCGGACGGGUGAGUAACACGUGGGAACGUGCCUUUAGGUUCGGAAUAACUCAGGGAAACUUGUGCUAAUACCGAAUGUGCCCUUCUGGGGAAAGAUUUAUCGCCUUUAGAGCGGCCGGGGUAUGUUUAGCUAGUUGGGUGUGGGAAUGGCUCACCAAGGCGACGUUCAGUAGCUGGUCUGGGAGGAUGAUCAGCCACAUUGGUACUUAGACACGGCCCAAACUCCUACGGGAGGCAGCAGUGGGGAAUCUUGCGCAAUGGGCGAAAGCCUGACGCAGCCAUGCCGCGUGAAUGAUGAAGGUCUUAGGAUUGUAAAAUUCUUUCACCGGGGACGAUAAUGACGGUACCCGGAGAAGAAGCCCCGGCUAACUUCGUG